rnacentral:rRNA from 1 species
UACGUAGGGCGCAAGCGUUGUCCGGAAUUAUUGGGCGUAAAGAGCUCGUAGGUGGCUUGUCGCGUCUGUCGUGAAAGCCCGGGGCUUAACUCCGGGUCUGCGGUGGAUACGGGCAGGCUAGAGGCAGGUAGGGGAGAAUGGAAUUCCCGGUGUAGCGGUGAAAUGCGCAGAUAUCGGGAAGAACACCCGUGGCGAAGGCGGUUCUCUGGGACGGUACUGACGCUGAGACGCGAAAGCGUGGGGAGCGAACAGG